rnacentral:rRNA from 1 species
CCUACGGGAGGCAGCAGUGGGGAAUAUUGGACAAUGGGCGGAAGCCUGAUCCAGCAACGCCGCGUGAGGGAUGACUGCCUUCGGGUUGUAAACCUCUUUCAGCACAGACGAAGCGAAAGUGACGGUAUGUGCAGAAGAAGCACCGGCCAACUACGUGCCAGCAGCCGCGGUAAUACGUAGGGUGCGAGCGUUGUCCGGAAUUAUUGGGCGUAAAGGGCUCGUAGGCGGUUUGUCGCGUCGGGAGUGAAAACACACAGCUUAACUGUGUGCUUGCUUCCGAUACGGGCAGACUAGAGGUAUGCAGGGGAGAACGGAAUUCCUGGUGUAGCGGUGAAAUGCGCAGAUAUCAGGAGGAACACCGGUGGCGAAGGCGGUUCUCUGGGCAUUACCUGACGCUGAGGAGCGAAAGUGUGGGGAGCGAACAGGAUUAGAUACCCUGGUAGUCCACACCGUAAACGUUGGGCGCUAGGUGUGGGGCCUAUUCCAUGGGUUCCGUGCCGCAGCUAACGCAUUAAGCGCCCCGCCUGGGGAGUCGGCCGCAAGGCUAAAACUCAAAGGAUUGACGGCNGAGAGNGCGAGACGACGACGAGGGAGAG